rnacentral:lncRNA from 1 species
UUAGGUAUGUAAAGGCUCAAGGCGUAGGAAAUGAAUCGCUAGGAAUAUCUCUUCUUUCGUUUAAACCAAGUAGGCCCUAAACCAAAGGUUUGAUCGCUGUGCUUUCCCCUUAUUGUUAGUCCUCUUACCAUACACCACUUCGUAUGGUUACUUCCCCCCUUAACAUACGCCGAUUCACAUCGUUUUUAUAGGCAAACUCUGCAGUUGGAAGAACUUAUUCCCACUUGCUUGGUCUCCCUUGCACUAAGCUCCUCAGAAAGUCUUCCAGUAAACCGACGACUGGAAUCUGGCCAUCCUGAGUGAUAAGCAUUGCUAAACCUCAGUUCAGUGCCUAAUUUCUUCCGUAACACCCUCUAUUUGGUGUCUUGAUCGGACGUAAUGCUCCCCUUUUGUCAUAAGGCAAGGUUUCUCACCACCUAAUGAUGAUAUCAUAUCACGAUCAUGUGGUAGCCCCGUUCGAAUUCCAUAUGCAAAUUCUAAUUGAAAUAAAAAAAACCCGA